rnacentral:tRNA from 1 species
AAGCAUAUAGUUCAGUUUGUAGAAUGCUUGCCCAAUAUGCAUGAAGCUCUGGGUUAAAUCCCCAGUACCCUAU